rnacentral:rRNA from 1 species
CCUACGGGAGGCAGCAGUAGGGAAUCUUUCACAAUGGGCGAAAGCCUGAUGGAGCAACGCCGCGUGCAGGAUGAAGGCCUUCGGGUUGUAAACUGCUUUUAUAAGCGAGAAAUAUGAUGGUAACUUAUGAAUAAGGAUCGGCUAACUACGUGCCAGCAGCCGCGGUCAUACGUAGGAUCCGAGCAUUAUCCGGAGUGACUGGGUGUAAAGAGUUGCGUAGGUGGCAUAAUAAGUAGCUAGUGAAAUCUGGUGGCUCAACCAUUCAGACUAUUAGCUAAACUGUUAAGCUCGAGACCGUUAGGGGUAACUGGAAUGUCUAGUGGAGGAGUGAAAUCCGUAGAUAUUAGAAGGAACACCAAUAGCGUAGGCAGGUUGCUGGGACGGUUCUGACACUAAGGCACGAAAGCGUAGGGAGCAAACGGGAUUAGAUACCCGAGUAGUC